rnacentral:rRNA from 1 species
UACGUAGGGGGCAAGCGUUAUCCGGAUUUACUGGGUGUAAAGGGGGCGCAGACGGCGAUGCAAGCCAGGAGUGAAAGCCCGGGGCCCAACCCCGGGACUGCUCUUGGAACUGCGUGGCUGGAGUGCAGGAGGGGCAGGCGGAAUUCCUGGUGUAGCGGUGAAAUGCGUAGAUAUCAGGAGGAUCACCGGUGGCGAAGGCGGCCUGCUGGACUGCAACUGACGUUGAGGCCCGAAAGCGUGGGGAGCAAACAGG